rnacentral:rRNA from 1 species
AGAGUUUGAUCCUGGCUCAGGACGAACGCUUGCGGCGUGCCUAAGAAAUGCAAGUCGAACGGAUCAGUAGCAAUACUGGUUAGUGGCGAACGGUCGCGUAACACGUAGGCAACCUGCCCAAAAGUGGGGGACAACAGUUCGAAAGGACUGCUAAUACCGCAUAUUGUUGUUUAUCGGCAUCGAUUUACAACCAAAGCAUUUAUGCGCUUUGGAUGGGCUUGCGGCCUAUCAGGUAGUUGGUGGGGUAAUAGCCUACCAAGCCGACGACGGGUAGCUGGUCUGAGAGGACGAUCAGCCGGAUUGGGACUGAGAUACGGCCCAGACUCCUACGGGAGGCAGCAGUGGGGAAUAUUGGACAAUGGGCGAAAGCCUGAUCCAGCAAUGCCGCGUGAGUGAAGAAGGCCUUCGGGUUGUAAAGCUCUUUUACCCGGGAAGAUAAUGACUGUACCGGGAGAAUAAGCCCCGGCUAACUCCGUGCCAGCAGCCGCGGUAAUACGGAGGGGGCUAGCGUUGUUCGGAAUUACUGGGCGUAAAGCGUACGUAGGCGGUGGUUCAAGUCAGAGGUGAAAGCCCGGAGCUCAACUCCGGAACUGCCUUUGAAACUAGAUCGCUAGAACAUCGGAGAGGUAAGUGGAAUUCCGAGUGUAGAGGUGAAAUUCGUAGAUAUUCGGAAGAACACCAGUGGCGAAGGCGGCUUACUGGACGAUUGUUGACGCUGAGGUACGAAAGCGUGGGGAGCAAACAGGAUUAGAUACCCUGGUAGUCCACGCCGUAAACGAUGAUAACUAGCUGUUGGGCCUCAUAGAGGCUCAGUGGCGCAGCUAACGCAUUAAGUUAUCCGCCUGGGGAGUACGGUCGCAAGAUUAAAACUCAAACGAAUUGACGG